UACGUAGGGUGCAGGCGUUACUCGGAAUUACUGGGCGUAAAGCGUGCGCAGGCGGCUUCCUAAGUCAGAUGUGAAAUCCCCGGGCUUAACCUGGGAACUGCGUUUGAAACUGGGAGGCUGGAGUGCGGCAGAGGGGGGUGGAAUUCCACGUGUAGCAGUGAAAUGCGUAGAUAUGUGGAGGAACACCGAUGGCGAAGGCAGCCCCCUGGGCCUGCACUGACGCUCAUGCACGAAAGCGUGGGGAGCAAACAGG
rnacentral:rRNA from 1 species